UAGGGAAUAUUAGAAAUGGACGAAAGUCUGAUCUAGCAACACCGCGUGUGCGAAGAAGGCCUUCGGGUCGUAAAGCACUUUUUGGAAGGAAUAGGAAGGAAUGUACUUCCAGAAUAAGUCUCGGCUAACUACGUGCCAGCAGCCACGGUAACACGUAGGAGGCGAACGUUAUCCGGAUUUACUGGGCGUAAAGCGCGUGUAGGUGGUUCUGUAAGUAGGGCGUGAAAGCUCCUGGCUCAACUGGGAGAGGCCGUUCUAAACUACAGAACUAGAGGAUGGUAGAGGGAGGUGGAAUUCCAGGUGUAGCGGUGGAAUGCGCAGAUAUCUGGAGGAACACCAGUGGCGAAGGCGGCCUCCUGGACCAUUCCUGACACUCAGACGCGAAAGCUAGGGUAGCAAACGG
rnacentral:rRNA from 1 species